UUAUCAUAAGCAGAAUUUAUAUCCAAAAAAGAUGCAACAACAGAUUUAUUUUCUGUGAAUGCUGUGCGUAUAUCUGUGGUUAAUAUGGCAAUAUUAUCUAUGGUACCUCUACCUUUGCGGAAUCCAAACUGUGUAUUGGAAAGGAGGUUAUGUUUUUCUACAAACCAUUCUAGUCUGUUUUUCGCUAAAUGUUCCGCAAUCUUUAAUAAAACAGAGGAUAGAACAAUGGGGCGAUAUGAUGAAGCCAAAGAUGGGGGUUUGUUGGGUUUUGGUACUGGAAUAACUUUUUGUUUUCUCCAUGAAGUGGGUAAAUUACCAGUUAUUAAAAUUUGGUUUAUUAACUUGAGGUAGUAUUGUAAAAUUUCCUCAUCAGCAUGUUGAAAGAAAGAAUAUGGAAUGCCAUCUAAUCCGGGAGAAGAAUCUUUUAAGUUUUGUACUACCCCUUUUAACUCUUCUUUUGUAAAAAGCGAAUUUAGGUCUUCAAAAUUUACAUUUUGUAAAGGAGGAGGAGGUUCAAUAGAAAUAGUGGGAGGAGCUAAAUUAUCUAGAAACUCAGAAGCUAAAGAGUCAGAUAUAGGAUGAGAUGGGGUAGUGAAUGCAGAUCUAUACCGUCUUAUGUUUUUCCAUACUAUAGUAGGAUGAAUACCUGGAUUUAAUGAUAAGCAAAAAUUUCUCCAACUAAGUAACUUCUUUUUCCUGAAUAAUUUCUUAGUAUCCUUAACACAAUCAAGAUAUAGCUGAUAGUUGGCUAUGUUUGGAUUUGUAUUAUAUUGUUUUUCAAUCUCUUUCCUAUUCUUAAUGGCAACUGUGCAUUCUUGAUCCCACCAAGGUGGAGAUGGUGUAUGAUGACGUGAAGUAUUUUUUUUUGGAAAUGAUUCAUCAGCAGCUUUUAUAAAUGCUGCAGUCAAAGCCUCAGCACAUAGUGACUCAUUUUCUGAUGAUAUUUCAGGAAGAAAAGAUAACUGAUUCCUGAGUGAAGUUUGAAAUUUAUCCCAGUUAGAAUUAUUGUUAAUAUGAUACUUUAUUGAUUCAGACUGAUUCAAUUUACUUUUAUCUUUACCUGGAAAUGAUAGAAUUAUAGGAAAGUGAUCACUUCCAUGACUUGACUGUAACACAUUCCAAUGAAAAACAGAUGAUAGAUUUGGUGAACAUAUUGACAAAUCUGGUGCACUACAACCUUCAUGAGGAGCAGUGCGCCGAGUAGGUUGGCCGGAAUUGAGAAUACACAGUUUAUUAUAAUCUAUUAAAUCUAAAACUUCGUAACCCCAUUGAUUGUCUUUGUGACUCCCCCAUGACUGAUGCUGUGCAUUGAAGUCUCCUAGAAUUACUACUGGUUGUGGUAAUUGGCUAAUAAUACUUUUUAUUUCAGAGAAGAUGUAAUAUGAAGGAUGAGGUAUAUACAGUGAAACAAAACAUAUGUUAUUUACAGAUGCAGCAAUGAUUGAAAAAUCAGAGUGAUGUGAUGGAAGAGGAAUGUGAUGAAAUGAUUGAUGGUGUUUGAUGAGCAUGGCUGUACCACCAUACCCAUCUGAUCUGUCUUCCCUGAGACAAGUGUAGCCAGAAAUCCUGAAAAGUGAUUCCGGCUUGAGCCAUGUCUCUUGUAAGGAAAGAACAAUAGGUGAUGAUGAUGAAGAAGUAGAUGAUAUUAACACGUCAGAAUAUAAUUUUGAAAUGGGAGGAUGUAACUUAGAAGCUUCUGAGUAGGAUAGACAAUUGUGAGCCAUUGACUCCUUAAUUGAUUUUUGGCGUUGGAAUUCUGGGCAUUUUUUGUCAGUUGCAAUGUGCGAACCGUGGCAAAUACAACAGUAAAUAGACUCCUCUUCAACUGAGCAACUAUCACCAGCAUGCCCUUGGCCACACCUAAAGCAUCUAGGUGUUGACCGACAUUGGUUUUUGACAUGUCCGUAUCUACAGCAAUUGAAGCACUGUAUUGUAGGGAAUAUAUAUAAGUCUACAGGAAGUGCAUUAUAGCACAUGAAGACUCUCUUUGGUAGCGUCUGUCCGUCAAAUGUUAUUACCACAGAUUCGGUGUUAUUAAAUUGAGUGGUUCCAUUCAC